rnacentral:lncRNA from 1 species
GCAUUUGCAGCAGCCUCUGACGCCUGAGAGGCGCUCUGUUCCUCUAGGAGGAGGGUGCGAGGGCCAUCUUUGACCUCUGUUAAGCGCCCUAAGGAGGUACCGACGGUUGUGACCGCAGUCUCUGACGUCUUCAGAUGUCAGUCCUACAAAGUCGGGGGUGGAGGUUUCCCUCCAGGCUGAUCGGACAUGCUCAACCGUUUAUUUACCUUUGAAUUUGGGGAGCAGAACUAGCCAGGGUGACACUAGUUUCUCCCAAUAAGCAGUGUUACAGUUUUCUAAAUCUGUGGGGUCAGUUUUGCUUCCACACUUAAAAGUGGCCGAGCCAUUACUUAGUCAGUCCUAAAUUACACCGCCUGUUUUGGUUUCUUUGGAUACCUGGGAAUCCCUGCUGCCUGCUCUGGAUGAAGAGCAGUGGUCUUGAUCACCGAUUGGAAGCACCGAGCAUGUGCGUGGAUGAGACUUGUCAACUCGGAGCUUUCCAACGGCCUCCUCAGGUUGUUUUUGGGGAUGAGGUGCUUAGGCCUUUUCUCUGGGACUAUGCAGAGUCCCAGAAGGAAAAAAAAACAAAAACUUUCACCCUCCACCAUGUGGGGAGAGCACUGGGGCGUUAAGGGCUUCUUCAGUAGUUGUUCCCCAGGCAGCUUUGAUAUAGGUCUCCCGUCUCUGGGCUGCUGGUUCUCAGCCUUCUGCGGUUCUGGAGUCAGCCUGGUGGGAACUCUCUCCUCUUCGCCAAGUCGCCACGUAGUAUUUUGCCUUCCCUAACUUAGUGACAGCUCUCACCCACUUCUAGCUUAGGAAUGCCAUUGCUCCUGACUCCUCUGUCACCAUCCUCAUACUUGUGGGUUAUGUGUUUUAAAUACUCCCCUCUGUGGUUUCAGUGGAUUUCUGAGCCCAGUGAGAUGCAUGUGUUCAGUCUGACCUUUUGACAUAGAAGCCCAGGGAUACUUUUACAGUCACUACCUAUUCAAAAUUAAGAGCAGAGGGGGAGGUUGGAGGGAGGUCAGCCGAGGGGCCAAGACCUGCAUGGAGGUGGGAGCCUAGGUUGGGGGCCACUGAUCAGUCAUGGGUUUGGGGAGGGGAAGAUUGGAGGAGGGUGGACAAACUGAGGGACAACAGGGGCACAAGCAGACGUGGAAAGGAACUUGAUGGAGGGAGGCGGCUGGUGGGAAGACAAGGUAGGGUACUGAGCCCAGCCUAAGGGGUCAGGCGGGCUCAGGGCAGAAACUUCGCUCAAGAAGCGUCUGUCAGAGGCAUAGAAAUGAUUUCACGUGACUCUCUGGGUAUCUACUUGUUUGACAGAUGCUUUUGCUCCUGACUCCCAUGGGCUCCCCAGAAAAGUGCUCUUUCAGGCAGGGAAGGGUUAUUGUCUGCAUUUCACAGCUCUGCAGACUUACUGGGGGACAAUGGUUCAGGGACCUACUGGGAUUCUGGUGGCCCAAGUCUUGCAGGCUCCAGGGGAGCUAGGUUCUGUGUGUCUCCACUCCCUGCAGGAACCUGUGAGGUUUCACAGGUGGAAGAGUCUGGCCCCAAUAUCAAGUGUGUGGGGCCUGGAUCUGGGCUCUUUGUGUAUAGGGCAGGAUAGCUGCAGGAUUUUGGAAGCCAUGGGAUGGAGUGCCCACUGGUUGGAGUCAACCUUGCAGGGUCAUCACACAUGGCCACACCCUCUAUCUCAGCAGCAGAAGGAACACAGCCCUGCCUUGGUUUCUCCACCUACCAUCCUCCCAUUGCCAGGAUCCACCAGGACUCAUCUAGCAGGGCUGCUGCUCCAGACAGCCCCACUCUAUCCCAGUUCAUCCAGCUCCUGGCUACCCCAACCCACCUCUGACCCUGAAAAGGAUACAGGUAUCCCACUCCCUCCCUGGGCUGCAGACAGGCUGUAUCUCUACUCUGUGGCCUCUUGAGGGUACCCAGGUUGAAGCCAAGUCCAGGAACUUCUGUGAUGAUGACAAACGCUGAUGGCAUGUCAGGGUAUGUUCAAUACCAUCUGCAUUGUAUGAGGGUGAAAUAGGUGUCAGGUUGCUACCGUUCACACAAAUGUUUAAAAAGAAACCUUUAUCAGAGAAGCUCUUGAACUGCUAUUAAGACUGAACCAUGCUCUGGAGUAGGGACAAGAGGCUGUGCUCUGGAGGUCCAAACUGCUGUACAGGAAACUGCAACACCUACUCUGAGUUGCAGAUGGUAGUCUUUUUUUUUUUUUUUCCAUUAAGGAGAACAUGAAUUUCCUUGGAGGUGAGGCUCCAGGUAGGGACAGGGCCUGGUCUGCUGAAGGCCACAGGAAGCAAAUGGCCCCCAGUCCACCUUUCUGUCCCUGCCAUGAAGGGCCAUUACACUGGGGUGGGGAGGUCCUCAGGAGGGUGUCACACAUAGCCUUAGGCAAUAGCAAGUCUUUCCUAUUCAGCUCUGUCCAGCCUCCAAUUGAGGAGGGAUAAUGGGGGUGAGACAGGGUUGGGGGUGAAGUGGCCACCAAACCCGGCAAAAGUGAGCAGCUCCAUCUUGUCUGAAGUUAACAUCAUCCCCUCAGGUAUAAAGCCUCCUCCUCACAUCGACUUUGGUAAACCAGUCAGUGACAGGCCUUGGCCAAGCUGAGACUUGGGCAAAAACCUGAACGAGUGCCACCGGAAAGCCAUCAUCCUAGCUCUGUCCUUCCAAUGCUGAGAGUCACAUGUUCCCCCAUGGGCAUCCCUCUCCUGAGUCGGCUAUGUGUGUGAAGCCAGGCCAGGCCGUGUGCCUCAGUUUCCUCAUCUUCCAAGUCGGGAUACCAGCCACAGAGCCAUCUCACAGGGCUUCAGGAGAAACUUCCCAGUACUCAGGACAGGAGCUGGCAGUGAGCAUGUGUUGGCUCUCAUUAGGACCCCACCUGUCAGCGUCUACAAACAUGAUGUUCAGUGGACCCAAACCUUUUCUCUUUCCCAGAGGUGGCGGCUGACAGAGCCCAGACCCUGAUCCCCAGUCCCUUGUGGUCUCUUGUCUGCUAGGCUGGCCCCUAGGAAGUCUUGGAUGAACAGAGGCAGUGGGUUGAGGGGAGAAUACCCUCAGCGGGCAUCUCUCCAGCGGCCAGUUUGUGUACAGCUGUCAUAAGUUUCUCUGGGCCACCCCCAACCCAUGCCUGCAUCCCUCUCACCUUAGCAUCCACUGUCAUAUCACAUGAAGCCGCACCACAGUGCAGUGCUGUGACUGUCGGCCUCCUACUGGCUCUGAAUAGUCUCGGCCCCACUAGAGUUCAGCCACCACGUCCUCCCCCUGAUGUUGCUGCAGUGCUACCUCUUUGGGGAUGGAGGUGUGAUCUGUGGGUGAACUGGCAAAUCCUGUCCCCACGUGCAAAUGAAAUCACAGCCAAAGGGCCUCCCUUGUCCCUGACUAGCAAGCACGGGACUUUUUCUCUGCUGUGGAUCUGCAGAGGACAUAUGCCCUUUAGCUGUGGAAGGGAUUCACAGAAGGCCAGGGCUGCAACCUGUGACCUCAGACCUCCGCUGGCUGCGAGACGGCGGCUGGGCCCGAGGCGGGAGUGGGCUCGGUUUCCUUCGCUGGCGCACCUUCUGAUGAUGCCCCGGCAACAGACCUGGCCUGGGGGUGCAGGCUGGCCCUGGAUCGCCGGACGGUCUUCUCGCCGGUAUGGAUCCUCUGGUGGUGGAAGAGGGCCGGGCGCUCACGGAAGGCGCGGCCACACUGCGUACACACGAAGGGCUUCUCGCCCGUGUGAAUGCGCCGGUGGCUGAGCAGCACGGCGCCCUUGGCGAAGGCCUUGCCACAGUCCACGCAGCGGAAGGGCCGCUCGCCCGUGUGCAGGAGCUGGUGCUGGGUGAGGUUGGAGCUGUGGCUAAAGGCGCGGCCGCACUGUGGGCAGGCGAAGGGCUUCUCGCCUGUGUGCACGCGCUGGUGCUUAAAGAGCGAGGAGCCCUGGCUGAAGGCAGCACCGCAGAGCGCGCACACGAAGGGCUUCUCGCCUGUGUGCGUACGCUCGUGCUGGAUCAGGUGCGAGUUGCGGCAGAAGCGGCGGCCACACUGUGCGCAAGCAUAAGGACGCCCACCCGCGUGGAUCUUGCGGUGCUGGCUGAGGUUGGAGCCGUGGCUGAAGGCCUUGCCGCACUCGGAGCAGCGGAAGGACUUCUCGGCCGUGUGGAUGCGCUGGUGCCGCACCAGCGAGGAGCUAUGCCGGAAGGCCUUGCCGCACACGGGGCACGCGUAGGGCGUCUCGCCGCUGUGGAUGCGCUGGUGCUGCGUCAAGUGCGACGUCUGGCUGAAGGCCUUGCCGCACUGGGCGCACUCGUAGGGCCGCUCCCCGGUGUGGGUGCGUAGGUGCUUGAGGAGGUCGGAGCUCUUCACGAACACUUUGCUGCACGCCCUGCAUUCGAAGGACUUCUCCCCAGCGUGAAGAGCCUCGCCCAGCUCGUCCCAGGUCGAGGGCUCCUGGCCACCGAGGAGUCUAUGAGGCUCCUGCCAAACUGCACCCAUUCGGUGAUGUCCCCGACCGCCGGCAGCCUCCAGGUCCUGGGCGCUCCCAAAGGUUCUCCCAGGGACCUCCUGUGCACAUGGUUUCUGCCGCUCAGGCGUCCUGGGCUGCCUCCCCAGCAACGCAUGCUCUGUGAGUGUCUUUUCUCUAAGCCGGACGCCCUCGGGAGGCCUAAGCGGGGAGGUCAGUCGCAGGCUGACGCUGGCUUGCCCACUGCCUGAGCCUAGCAGGAGCCUCUCCCAGUAGAUCACCGACACCCCCGUGGGUUUUCUCUCCCGAGAUGGGGAGGCACCCCGUUGUCUCUGCAGGCUUUUUACACUGUGGCAGGCACCGGCAACAGGGAAGACGCUAGUAGUCAUCCCAGGUGGGGUAUCUGGGAAAGCUCGUGGCCAUUCUCCAGAAACAUCUCUAUCCUCUGUCAAACUCCAGGAACCUAAAGGCAGAGAAACAGUGGUUGCCUGGGGCAUCCUGGUUAGGAGAGGACCAGGGCAGGCUGAGUGGACAGGCAAGAAGGAACCCCGGAGCUGGCACAAAAGCUUAGGGGAAAAGUAGAGGUGAGGCUGGCCCUGCAGGAGGGGCUGGGGUUUGGAGGAACAAUCUGCCCUGAUAGGUAUGGCACUGACUACACUGGGCACUCCCAUGAUCAAGGUGGCAGCCCCCCGACACCCAGGAUGUGAAGCUGAGGAAAACUAGCGGCUGCUGUAUGCUGCAUACAUCUCCACACUGGCUAUUCCACCCACACUCUUUCCAUUGCUUACCCCCUUCCCCCCGCCCCUGUCCCCCUUCUCAGGCACCCACUCCCCAACCUGCUCCUGCAAUGACCUCCAUCCAGUGCUCUAGACUAUACUCCUGAAUCCUGCUUACCGACUGCCUCUCCCACCACACCAUGAGCCCCAGAAAAGCAGGACCAGGGUCGUCCUGAUUGAGGCUGUGUCUACAUUGCCUGGACUGGGCCUGACCACUGUGAGCACUCAGGAAAUGUUUGCUGAACACAAAGAUGAAGGGUGAAAAAAAUGACCCAUCAAUUAUGGCAGUGACUAGCCAUGGAGGGUUUGAGGCCAGCCCAGCUGAUAGCAGGACUCUGAGAUGGUCUCACCAUAGCCUGAGUGCCCUUCUGUGUCAACCCCGCUCCUGUGCCCUUGGAGCUCCACCUUCAAGGGCAGCUAAGGCUGCAGCCUCCAGGAGGGGCUGAUGAUGGAAGGGAAGGGAAUCGGGUGGGAGGGAGGGGAGGAGGGUGCUUCUGGGGAGUCUGGGAACCAGGGACAGAGGCAUGACCACAGGUUGGUCCUGAAUUCACCCCACCCUGAGCUCCCUCUCACCAGGGUUGCGCCUCCUGUAGGUGGUCCUGGACAGGGUUGUGUCCGUUCCACUGGGAACCCAGGGCUCCUCGCCACGCUCCAGUUGGAUGACCACACGAGGUCGAGAGGUGGAGAGUCCUGUGAGGAGGAGGUGCAGGUUAGAGUCCAGCCCCAGCUCAAGAUAACCCACCUCCAAACAGAGGGCAGGAGUCAGGGCUUCACGGAAACAGAAAAUGUCAUCUGUGCAACUGCAGAAUCUAAAGAUGGCACAGGGCAAGGGGCUCACAGGAAUAGCUCAUUCAUCCCCAGGGCAGCAACUGUGCCCAGGGCACCAAAGGAAGGGGACUGAGCCAAGGCUCGGAGAGGCCACAGCCGGACAGCGCCACAGGGAGUGGUUGAGCCAACCAGACUGCAUGUCUAUAGGACCAGACCCCUAUUCCACAUGGCUCCUGGCUGCAAGGUAUAGGCCUGCUCGUCAGCCACCAGGGAGGUGAGGGGGCAGCCCUGGCCAGUCAGCUUGUUAUCAGUUGCCCAUUUCAUGGAGUAUCUAGGACCUUACCCAGCGAGGCCACAAGUGCGAAGUUGUCUAGCAUCACGCGGCGGUACAGGGCCCUCUGGGCUGUGUCCAGGAGCCCCCACUCCUCCUGGGAGAAGUACACAGCCACAUCCUCAAAGGCCAUCUGGUCCUAAAAGAGCAGGGAGGAAGAGACAGCCAUGGUCUAAGGCUGGGUUAUCCAAUCUUUUGGCUUCCCUGGGCCACAUUGGAAGAAGAAUUGUCUUGGGCAACACAUAAAAUACAUUAACACUAAUAACAGCUGAUGAGCUAAAAAAAAUAAAAAUUGCAUAAACAUCUCAUGUUUUAAGAAAGUUCACGAACUUGUUUUGGGCUGCAUUCAAAGCCAUCCUGGGCAGUGGGUUGGACAAGCUUAGUUUAAGGUAUGGCUGUGAGCCAGGACCAAGCUCCCCAUCCCAACAGCCACCUUCCAUGAUGUCCCUCAGACACUCACCCUCCUUCCCUGGGUUCUGCCCCCACCAUCUUCAGAUGGCACUUCCCUCACAUGUCUGGGACCCCUCCCCUCUGCCCUCCCUGACCAGACCCCAGAUGCCUUCUUGGCCUCCCCACUGGCAACGCCAUACACAAGCAAGCUAGAACAAGUCCUGGCUGGGCCCUCAGCUGCCACACCAAGAGCAGCCCCAGGUGUCCACUCGUGACUCAGCAUGACCACUCAUGACCCUCCCCAGAUGCACCCUUCCUGCUCUUGUAGCAAGAAACUGUGAGUCCCAGCAGGGGCUUCCCAGGCAUACCCAUCACUGGGACCCUCCCCUGCUGAGCCUGCUUGCCUGACAUUUCCAGGCUGCUCAUCCAGCCUGAGGGACUGGAUGAUUCUCACCAGUCGCCACAGGGGAGCAGCCUCAACAACCUGUGAACACAGAGGAACUCAAUCCCUUCCUCCUUUCACCCGGUGUCCCCUUUCUUCCCCUCUCUGUUGCCACCCUCCCCUCCUCAGUUAGGUGCUAGGCUCUUCCCAAUAGCCCCAGGCAUCCCAGCUGGUCUUCUUUACCCUCAAGCCAUAACUGCCCACACCUGGCUGAGUCCCUGCCCAUUCCUCAGUCCAAUUCAUAGGCCCUGUCCACAGCCCAGGACGCCAACAACGUCAGGUCCAGUGACAUGACCAACCUGGGACAUCCCAGACUCUUGAUCUUUCCCCUG